GUGGGUGUAGUUCAGUUGGUUAGAGCGCCAGAUUGUGGCUCUGGAGGUCGUGGGUUCAAGUCCCACCAUCCACC
rnacentral:tRNA from 1 species